rnacentral:tRNA from 1 species
UGAUUCGUAGCUCAAUUGGUCAGAGUAUCCGGCUUUUAACCGGAGGGUUCUGGGUUCGAGUCCCAGCGGGUCAA